UUGAAGAACAAGAAAAACAGUAGAGGUCUACCUAUAUGGUUCAAGAUGAUGAUCAUAAGUGCAUGCAUCAUUUUGCAGAUUCUCAUCCAGGAUGAUGCAGUUUUACAAUUUCCAUGGAGGUGAUUGAUGAUGAUAAAUAAUUGGUGAAGUAGGCCUAAUAGAACAGCGACUAGACCACAAAGAGAAAUACAACCUACAGCAGUUAUAUGAGCCAGGUGUAACAGAUGUUUUCAUUCAAGAAAUCCAACAAUUCAACAUUGAAGAGUCUGACUUAGGAACCACUUGAUGAAGAUGGAAAAGGUUUUUUUUUCCAAGUCCAAUUUUUCACAAAAAAAUAAUUAUUAUCACAACCCCAAAUUCAUGACGUAUGAAAUUUCUUGUUGAUUUUCAUUAAAACUGGUUGCAAAAGGAGAAGCUAUAAACAUACAAAUAGGAGCGGCGGAGUGAAGUUGAAAGUGGGGGGGGGGGCAUAGGGACAAUGCUGUAUUACAUGAAAUUUUUAAGAAGUUGCGAGCGAGCAAAAUUUUGACAUUUUUAAAAAGAAAAUCUAAAAUAUUCAGAAUGAUAUAUUUCACCCUUUUCUUUCCUUUUCUCUUUUUUUCUUGGUCGUGAUUUUUUUUUUUUUUUUUUUUU